ensembl:lncRNA
UAAAAUCGACGUGUGUGCCCGGCUUUAGAUGAGAAAGAAGACAUCAAAAAUGGUGUUCACAGGACAGGUUUCAGAAGCACUGUCCUAGCGGAUAAAUUCACAUUUUCACAAUACUGCAUGCAAAUUAAAGACAAUCAAUCUGUAUCUUACCUCACCUCAGUGAAGAGAAACAACUUGAGGCUCUUCACCACGGACGGACAGAGCUAUGGCCACUAAAAUGUGAUACACACCAGGUCCACGGCAGCGCAGGAGUCUCCAGACUCUUCUCAGAGGCCUCCACAGACACUCAAAUAUCCCACCUGCGAUAAGAGCAGACAAGAUACACUAUUACUACGUGAGCGAACACUUUUUAGUACUAAACUUAUCUAAAACGGAUCAAACUAUAAACUAGACGCAAAUUAGCUUAUAAUCACUUCUAAUCAACCAAAACCAUCAGAAAAGCGUCGUGUACUGGCGCAGCUAACUCGAGCGGUUUGUUCGCUAAUGUCCACAAAUAACUUGUAUUUCGAUGUCAUUUGGUAUUUAACUGUGUGAGUGUCCAUCAUCAACUCCGAAAUCGUUAUAGAGGAUGAUAACUUGAUUAAUUUCAUCCAAGCAACACCGGAGGAGAGUCUAUUCGAGGUAGGAAACAGGUAACUUUAACAGCGCGCGCCGCUAACGUCACACAUCAGAUCAGUUUACUACACAACGAGGUAAAAUAAAGGAUUUAUCACCUCUGGAGUGGGUUCCCAUGUUGUAAUUUGGUGUAGCCAUCAGUGCGUUAAUGUAUCCGUUACAAACUUUGUUCACAGUGCUGUAAACUACACGCAGCCUUCUCGCGGCAAACUUGAAAUUCCGAAACCAGGCUCUAUUAAAACAUUACGUCAUGACGUCAAGCUAUGUUGCCAUGUGCGUUUUUUCAUAAUGUCAACCUACGCUCCGCAUCGUGCCAUUAUCAAUAUUACCAUAUUAUUACAUUCUGUCAUUAGUUUCCUGAGUUUUUAUCUGUACCAGGGCCGAGCCAUACCCCUCUGAUACGGAAUGUGCUCCGUUUUCCAUUUCUAGGUGCAUGCGCGGUUUAACUUAUGGUACAUGGCAACCCCGAAGCGCGUUACAGUCAAAACUCUCUCAGCCUGUUCGUCGUGCACGAGUAUCGAUGACACACUUAAAAUAAUAAUAAUAAUAAUAAUUUUUCAUUGACGAAUCAGAUAUAUCUUUACAUACGUCCAAUCAAAUUUAGCGUCACAAAUCUAAAUUGAAGAAAUUAGUAU